AGUCUCCUGUUGCUGCUCUGCAGACGAGGAAGGCCGGGGUUACUGUCUGAUGAUUAAAACACACACGGCUGGAUCUGCAUUGUUUAGUCUGAGUGCACUCUCCAUGACCUGAGGUCCAUAAUGGCCAACACAGCGCUGCAUCUCGCCUCUCCCAGCUCAUUGGUCGCCACGCAAGCGUACAGGCCAGCGUCACUCGUGCGGCAGUCCCGUAUCCAGAGACCCCCGGAGUCCUGGUUUUCAGAAGGAGGUAGAAGCUCAUCGUUGUGGAACCAGCUCAGAGAAGGUUUCGGAAACCCCGAAACAGAUACCCUCAGUCGGAUGUCACAGCCGGUCCCCACCGCUGCUUUACGGAGUUUACGGAUGAAAGCUGGUGGUGCUGGUUCUGUACCAUCAGCGCCCGGGUUCUUGGAGACUCUGGGCCUCUUUGGAUUAGUGCUGCUGGCACUAGGACUGGAUGCAGGGCGGUCUGACAUGUUGAUUUGUUUCAGGGCUGUCCUCUCUGGUAAUUGAUUUUGGGAUCAGCGGUUAUUGAAAGACUCCAUCGGUUCAGACGCCUCUGAGCUCGACCUCGACCUUAGCCUUCACAAUGAGGACUGUAAGGACAAGAGAGACUCCAUCAGGGUGACAUCAGAGUUAUCUUUAGACCGUGUGUGUGACUGAGUGUGCUUCUCAUAAAACAUUACAUCACACUUAAUCUUUUCAGACAAACCCAGACUGAAACUUUCAUGAUGAGACAGCUGUCCUGUGAAUUUUUCCUUGAGGCACCUUCUACCCUCCUUACCUGCUCAGAUACUGAUCCUUGACACCUGUGAGCUGGCUACAAAAGCCUCUGACAAGCCCCUCCCACUCUCUCUCUCAUAGCCAAGAUCAGCAGCUAUUACUCUUCCUCUGUUGUUGUUUUGUUUGUAUUCGUUUCUGUAAUAAAUAUUUGGUUAUAGACUUGA